rnacentral:rRNA from 1 species
GACGAACGCUGGCGGCGUGCUUAACACAUGCAAGUCGAACGGAAAGGCCUGUCUGUUGUGGGGUGCUCGAGUGGCGAUCGUGUGAGUAACACGUGUGUAACCUGCCCUGUACGUGGGGAUAUCUGUAGGAAACUGGGGCUAAUACCGGAUAGGAGCUGUGGUGGCAUGGUGGGGGUUGGAAAGUUUCGGCGGUUGGGGAUGGACUCGCGGCGUAUCAGCUUGUUGGUGGGGUAGUGGCUUACCAAGGCUUUGACGGGUAGCCGGCCUGAGAGGGUGACCGGCCACAUUGGGACUGAGAUACGACCCAGACUCCACAGGGAGGCAGCAGUGGGGAAUAUUGCACAAUGGGCGGAAGCCUGAUGCAGCACAGCCGCGUGCGGGAUGACGGCCUUCGGGUUGUAACAAAAAAUCGCCUGUGACGAAGCGUGAGUGACGGUAAUGGGUAAAGAAGCACCGGCUAACUACGUG